GCGAGGGGGCGGAUGGGAAUGAGGCCUAAAAGGGGCAGCGACCCUGGGGAAGGUCACCGGCCAGGCAGGACUAGUGGGCCUGGGGCCUGGUGUGAGGCGGGUGUGAGGGGGAGGCCUGCCUGAGCUUGUCCCGCCAUCUCAGAUUUCAAGUAGAUCCUUCUGGGCCUGGGUUGGCCUGUCCUCCUGGGCAGGCCCCCCUCUGCCCCUGGCAGCCUUAGCCCCCACCCAGACGAGGUGGGGGGAGAAUCCUCCUUCUCAGCCCCACAGCACCUGCCCAGGGGCUCCAGAAAUGUUGAGCUGCCCUGAGCCUGGCAAGGACUGCCACCAGCCGAGAUGCCAGCUCCCUUGCCGUCUGAGGAGGAUGCAAAGUCACCAGUGGGGUUUCUUUGCGGCUCUGCAGACUGAGACCUGGGGGUGGUGUCCAAGCAGCCCCAGGAGAACAGACCUGUGGAUGGCACUUCACCACGAGGAAGCUGAAAUGAGAUACUGGACGUGAGGAGGGAAGUGUAGCAGCUUGAAUGAAAGAGUGGACGACUGAGGCAGGAGAUCGUCAAGGUCUGGAAUCAGCCUGCGAAUGUUUCCCUUUAGGACUUAACAGAACGGCUGCUCUGGCAGCUUCCAUGAUGACCCUGAAGGCAUACAAGAGAUGGCAUGGGGAGAAGUCCCCCAGACUGUUUUCCAGGCACUGGUAUUACAGGUUUUACAAGGAUGUGAAAAAUCACAGCCCUGAGGCCUGGCGAUGCCCAGAAAGAAAGAAGCUGAGUGGAAGAUCGCUCAGGAAGUUUGACUCCUCGCUAAUCCCCAGAGCAAGUCUAGCUUACCAGGAGCCAUGGGGAUGGGCUAAAGGCUCAGAGCAAAGGGCUAGCCAGACCGCCAGGGACAGGAGGCUGGCUGGCUGCCCAAGGAGGGCCUGGGCCUGGCAUGACCUGCGUGUGGAAACCAUGUUCCUAGGCUGGCCUUCAGCUUUGCCAAGUCCAGAAACACGUGAGUGCUCCGGGGACUUGCUCCACCUGCUCCCUCUAAGGAAGCUCACCACAGACGAAUGUGCACCUCCAUGGCAACUGUCAUUUAUGAUGGAAGCCGUUCCUACGCAGUGUCCUAUCCCUGGAGACCCCGUUCCCAAUGUCAGGAUGCAUGCAGUGCUGAAUCUGUUAAGAGGUUGCUUGGUGAGCACGGAUUUGGAACCAGAGAAGGGGAAGUCUAUAAAAGGUCAUCCUUCAGGCCCUGGAAAAGCUCUGAGAACUGUCUUGGUCCCAUUCUUGAGCCUUCCUCCAAGGCUGAGAAUAUGCACAUGUCCCAAAUCCGUGUCCCCUGCCCAGGAUGAGGCUGGACCAGUUCUGUGAAUUUCCACCACCCGUCUCCAUCCAUCAUGACCUGGCAUAGGCUUUGGACACCAAAAUAACAACCAAGCUGGCUUUGGUUUAAGUUUGUGUGAUAGGAAUCCCUUAAUCUUCAUGAGUGUUUUUUCACACUCAGAGUUCUGGGGACACUUUCCUGGUAGCUUGUAUACCACCUGUCCUACCUUCUUCCAGAAAGGCAAAGAGUGGGCUUACGAUAAAAUACCCACCUGUACGUAUGAAUGAACAGCAAAAUAAAGAUCAAAAACUACAUGGAUACA
ensembl:lncRNA